rnacentral:lncRNA from 1 species
GCUGAAGAGCGCCGUUUGUGUUUUUCCUUCCCUCGUACGCCCGGCUCCCGGCCACAGCGCGAAGGCGGCGGCGGCCAGGAAGAUCAGCCGAGGGCAGAGGAGCGGGAGAAGCGGAGGAGAUGAAUUAUCAUCAAACCAAGGCAGAAUUCCUGUUGUAAAGCCUCUGCAAGAAAAGAGCACCGUGAAAGCUGGUCUGCUUGAGGCUGCUGUCCUACUUUGUCAAUACUUUCCUAGUCUUAGCGAGUGAUGUCACAGCAUCUCUGACAUUCAGACCCCAGUAAUCCACUAGGUGUGUAUCUUGCUUGGUUUUCUCUGCAUGCUUUGUGAUAUGGCAUGGGUGAUAA